rnacentral:rRNA from 1 species
GCCAGACUCCUACGGGAGGCAGCAGUGAGGAAUAUUGGUCAAUGGACGAGAGUCUGAACCAGCCAAGUAGCGUGAAGGAUGACUGCCCUAUGGGUUGUAAACUUCUUUUAUAAAGGAAUAAAACGAGGCACGUGUGCCUUUUUGCAUGUACUUUAUGAAUAAGGAUCGGCUAACUCCGUGCCAGCAGCCGCGGUAAUACGGAGGAUGCGAGCGUUAUCCGGAUUUAUUGGGUUUAAAGGGUGCGCAGGCGGAGGUGCAAGUCAGCGGUCAAAUUGCGGGGCUCAACCCCGUACUGCCGUUGAAACUGCAUCCCUUGAGUGCGCGAGAAGUAUGCGGAAUGCGUGGUGUAGCGGUGAAAUGCAUAGAUAUCACGCAGAACUCCGAUUGCGAAGGCAGCAUACCGGCGCGCAACUGACGCUCAUGCACGAAAGCGUGGGUAUCGAACAGGAUUAGAUACCCCAGUA